rnacentral:ncRNA from 12 species
UACCGAUCGUUUUGCAUUUAAGGAGUCUUUAAGCUUUCCCCGGUAUUACUGGCGGCGUCCAUCUUCUGGACAUCGAGUGGCUCCUGUCCACUCUGUUUGACGCCCUCCCUGUUAUCCACUUGAGCCGCCGGCAACGGCGGCUCUUUUUUG